rnacentral:lncRNA from 10 species
AUCUCUGGAGUCUCCCAUUGCCUGCUUACAUGGAGGUGCAUUUUCUUGCCCUACCUCCUGGGGCUGCUACCUCCAUGCAAUGGUUACCCCAGAGACAGAAGAAGGACUUCUUAAGACCACUUUACUAAAAAAUAUGGCUGGUGACUCUGAAGCAACAUCAGUGACUAGCUAGACAUAGAGACAGGUAUCUGGUUUGGGGAAGAGGGCAAUGCACAGAAACUGGGAGCUUGUCAGCACCUCUUCAAGGUGACAUUGCUAGACAGAGUAACUAUACCUCCACUUUUAACUACCCGCUCAUUCAGGGCUAGACCAGGCUAGCCCUCCGGACAGGCUAAUUAUUUCAAGCCCUUUCAAACCAUUAUUUUAUCUUCCUUUAUUUUAUGCUGCACUAGAGAAGACAAUUUUUAUGAAUGCAAAUUGUAUGUCUCUCCAUCAGUUCAAUAAGGGAUUUAUUUCAUGAACUAAACCUAUGCUGUUAACUGAUUUAGAAUUGUCCUUGAUUUUGCUCAUUUCCAGUCACCUCUAACUGAUAAUAUUAGGUCCCUGAGUAUACAUUAAAGGCAGAAGAAAAUUACAGAUUAGAAGGCUGAUUCAAAA